rnacentral:lncRNA from 1 species
CACACUGGAAAAAUGAUGAAAAAACGCACAAAGAGCACACUGUGCCUUCAUUCCCCACGUGUCUUGAUAAACAGUGGGCAGAGAGAUGAAGGCCCUGUUCCCCGGAUAACUUGCUGUGCAGGAGGAGCACCUCUCCCUCCCUGGCUCACUUUCCUUUCUCUCUCCUCAGCUCUCCGCAUUUGUUUUUCACAUUCUCCAAAGUAUUAUACUUUCUUCCUUUUUCAUACACCUUUGAUAUUUCUAUUUCAUCUCGGCCCUGAUACAUCCAGGUUUUUAGCUAAAAGUUUCUGUGUGCAUGUGUGUGUUUUAUUUCAUCAAGCAGAAUUUAGUCUAUGGUUUGUGUAUUUCAGAAGCUCUGUGUUUCAGCUUCUCUUCCCCUGGUACACUGAGCUCCUGCCCCAAGCUCAGGCCGCCUGUGCAUGACAGGUAUGAGGCCAGCAUUCUGUGAUUCACCUGGAAAACACAAGUCCCCACUUCUUCCUCAUUUCUGUGCCUCUCUGGAGGGAACCCUGGCAGCCCUUGCCUCAGUUUCUGGGACAAUCCAGGCAGCUCUCCAUCACUGGAGAACACCAGAUGGAAUGGAUGGAGGCAAUUUUUCAGAAAGUACUUUAAGAGCGGCUUCCUCAGUGGUCUUUCCAGCUGGAAGCAGAGCGUCCAGAAAGCACCGCAUUCUCAGCGCUGUUUCAUUGCCUCAAGAGCUACAGAUGGCUUCCCCAAGCACCUGAAGUCGAUGCUGCUUGCCUGGAUGGAAUAAGCUGCAAGCUGCAGAAACUCUUGUCUUUUCACAGUGGAACUCAGACUCCAGUUUCUUUCUGCCUUGAGAGUGAAAGAAAGGAGAAGACACAGAGUAGGAAAGAGCCAGAAGGUGGAGAAAUUAAUGUUUAAUGCUUGAUACUCCCGGGGCCUGGCCAGCUGCUCAAAAAAAGGAAGGAGGUGAUGAAGAGAGAAAGAAAGGAUGGAAGGAAGGAGGAAGUGGACAAUGAGCCCAGAGCCCUCACCUGAGUUCCAAACAUUUAAGUCAAACUGCCAACUUCAUUCUCCAUUUGGACGAUUUCUCAACAUGUACAAAACCAAGUCCUGAUUUUUCCGUGACCCCAAAUCUGUUCUAUCUGAAGCCUCCCUAUCUCAGUUACUGAGACAGAGUCUGUCUGUCUUUGUCACUCGCACUUCACGCUGGAGUGCAGUGGUGUGAUCAUAGCUCACUGCAACAUCAAACUCCUAGAUUCAAGCGACCUGAUCCUUCCACCUCAGCCUCCGGAGUAGCUGAGACUACAAAUCCUGGCUGAUGGAUGUAAUGAAGGCAUGAACUAUACUAGUUGAACAAGGAAAUGAACUUGAACCAAAUUGUGAAGUUCUCUGCAGUGAAAUAUUAAAGAUUAGCAAGCUAAACAGAGAAAAAGAUAACACUCAAGAAACUGCCUAUAUGUAAGAGAUUCCUUUGAGAACUUUCAAAUGGCUCCUUUCUACAAAAGACCUGAGAAUACUUAACCCCCCACCACUAGCACACUCAAAGCUCAAGGCAAAUGCAUUUUCAAGAUUGACAGGGUCUUGGACUCUGAAAGUCUUUGGACCCAAGAAAAAUCGUGUUAUCUAAGAGAGCAGUUAUUCUGACACAGACUGAUAUCAGGUGCCUGUGGCAUGAAACACGGAAGAGAAUAAUAGCAUCUACCUUAUAAGAAGACAUACUAUAUUCUGGACCACAUAUCUGAUAAUUCUUACAGCCCUUUAAAGAUAAUCAUAACUAGAAUAUUAUCUUAUUUUGUAGCUCAUAGAUGUCAAAAGACUAGCUCAUAAUUUUAUUGCGGAUACAUAGCAGAACCAAGAUUUGAACUCAGACCUGUCUCAUUCCACAACUCAUUUUCCUUGAAGUCAAUAGAUGCCACUGAUCUCUAAAUACCUACAAAAGGGGCUCGGAGGUGGAGAGGGGAUGUCUGAGGAGCCUUAGGACUACCACCCAAUGUUCUGUCUUUAGAUAGAGAUGCUAUCACCAAUCUCUCUUUCACACAUACUCCUCCUCUUCUCAUUUCUGUUCGUGUACUUGGUUCUCAGUGUAAGAUUUUGUUAGAAGAAAGAGGCAUGUUGGUAAAAUAAGAAAUAAUAUAUCAAAAAUAAAAUAAAAUUGUUUGAAAGUC